CCCUUAGAUGUUCUGGGCUGCACGCGUGUUACAAUCGGGAGUACAACAAGAUUGCAAAUCCUAGUGGAUGAGUGGUUCUUCGAAAUUUUCUGAAGACUGGGAUAGUUGAUUGAAAUUAUUCAACUCAAACGAGGAAUUCCUUGUAAUUGUAAUUCAUUAUAUUGUAAUGAAUACGUCCCUGCCCUUUGUACACACCGCCCGUCGCUCCUACCGAUUGAACGAUCCGGUGAAUUAUUUGGAGUAGCUCUGGAAGUUGCAGAACUUCCUAUGUCACGAAAUUUUGUAAACCUUAUCGUUGAGAGGAAGGAAAAGUCGUAACA
rnacentral:rRNA from 1 species